GGAGAACUGUUAUCUCGGGGAGAUCCCGAUCUCUCCUACCAGCAACUCGAGAUCUCUACGAGAUUACAGUUUUUGGGGGAAAUGUGUCCUCAGAACUGCUUAAUCGUAGAAGCUUCCUAG
rnacentral:pre_miRNA from 1 species